rnacentral:rRNA from 1 species
AGGUCUUGACAUCCCAUUGACCGCUAUGGAGACAUAGUUUUCCCUUCGGGGACAAUGGUGACAGGUGGUGCAUGGUUGUCGUCAGCUCGUGUCGUGAGAUGUUGGGUUAAGUCCCGCAACGAGCGCAACCCUUGUUCUUAGUUGCCAUCAUUUAGUUGGGCACUCUAAGGAGACUGCCGGUGACAAACCGGAGGAAGGUGGGGAUGACGUCAAAUCAUCAUGCCCCUUAUGACCUGGGCUACACACGUGCUACAAUGGACGGUACAAACGGUUGCCAACCCGCGAGGGGGAGCUAAUCCGAUAAAACCGUUCUCAGUUCGGAUUGUAGGCUGCAACUCGCCUACAUGAAGCCGGAAUCGCUAGUAAUCGUGGAUCAGCAUGCCACGGUGAAUACGUUCCCGGGCC